GGGGGAUAUUGGUUAAGUACGGGGGCUUCUAACCUUCAGUACGGGCAGUUCGAUUCUGUCCGUCCCUUA
rnacentral:tRNA from 1 species